rnacentral:rRNA from 1 species
ACGAACGCUGGCGGCGUGCUUAACACAUGCAAGUCGAGCGGUAAGGCCCGUUUCGGGGGUACACGAGCGGCGAACGGGUGAGUAACACGUGGGUGACCUGCCCUUAGCUCUGGGAUAAGCCUGGGAAACUGGGUCUAAUACCGGAUAUGACUCCAUAACGCAUGUUGUGGGGUGGAAAGCCUUGUGCGGCUAGGGAUGGGCCCGCGGCCUAUCAGCUUGUUGGUGGGGUGAUGGCCACCAAGGCGACGACGGGUAGCCGGCCUGAGAGGGCGACCGGCCACACUGGGACUGAGACACGGCCCAGACUCCUACGGGAGGCAGCAGUGGGGAAGUCUUGCGCAAUGGGCGAAAGCCUGACGCAGCGACGCCGCGUGGGGAUGAC